rnacentral:rRNA from 1 species
UGGGGAAUCUUCCGCAAUGGGCGCAAGCCUGACGGAGCAACGCCGCGUGAGUGAAGAAGGGUUUCGACUCGUAAAGCUCUGUUGUCGGGGACGAAUGUGGAGAUGGUGAAUAACCAUUUUCAAUGACGGUACCUGACGAGGAAGCCACGGCUAACUACGUGCCAGCAGCCGCGGUAAUACGUAGGUGGCGAGCGUUGUCCGGAAUUAUUGGGCGUAAAGGGAGCGCAGGCGGGAAGGUAAGUCUAUCUUAAAAGUGCGGGGCUCAACCCCGUGA